CCCACCCCUUUCCACGGGCCCGCACCUCCUCUUCUUUCAGGUCUCCGCUUCAGGGAAGGCUUUUCUGCCCACCCUGUCUAAGGUAGGCCCCCCUUCCCACCACCCCCUUAUUCGGAAUCUCAGUCCUUUGGUGAUUUUCUUCGUGACCCUUAAAACAUCGUGUGACUAUUCUACUCACUGCUUUCCCCACCCCCCAACCCCACCCUUAUAGAUUAUAGCCCUGGGCUGGAGCAACAAAGCAGUUCAGUGUUCCCGAGCCUUCUCCUGUCGUCCUGGGCUGCCGUCCUCUAGUUAAUCGAGUUGGGCAGUGCCCUUUUGAACUUAGCCUUAAAAAUGAAUCCAGUUGUUGCUCAGCCAGGCUAUGGUGCGCGGGGCGCGACGGCUAGUAGCUGGCAAACCGACGUGUUUGACUGCUGCGACGACCUAGGGGUUUGCCUCUGUGGGACUUUCUUUCCCCUGUGCCUCUCCUGUCAGAUUGCCUCUGACAUGGACGAAUGCUGCCUGUGCGGAGGAAGUGUUGCCAUGAGGACCCUGUAUCGAACCCGAUACGGCAUCCCGGGAUCUAUUUGCGAUGAUUACCUAUGCCUGAUGUGUUGCCCUAAUUGCACCCUUUGUCAACUCAAGCGAGAUAUUGAUAAAAGACGAGCAAUGAAUGCUUUCUAAAAGGUGUUUUGGUCAAAUUCACAUUUGGUGAAAGACAACACUGGAAUGAAAUAUUGCAUCUAUUAAGUGCUAUCUUACCUCAAAUCUUAGAAAGUAAUUCAAUUAAUCAUGUGGCUUCAAAAGGCUUCAAAACACUUUUAAUUUCCAGUAUAUUUUGAAAGAAAUAUAUUUCCAUUGCUGUUCUCUAAGAUGACUACCAUUAAAAAAAUUAAUUUCCUCAACAA